GCCUCACACCUAGCUCUAACUAAACCCCACUACACCCCCCCCCCCCCCAAAAAAAAACAUUUUACCAGUUUAGUACAGGCGAACAAAAAACCUCUAGAAGCUUCAGAUAACCGUACCGCAAGGGACCCCUGAAAUAGAAAUGAAAUAAAAAUAAAGCACACUAAAGCAGAGAUUAACACUCGUACCUUUUGCAUCAUGGUCCAGCUAGUCACAAUCAAGCAAAAUGCCCUUACAGUUUGACCCCCCGAAACUAAGUGAGCUACCCCGGAACAACUCAUAGAACCAACCCGUCUCUGUCGCAAAAGAGUGGGGUGAUUCCCGGGUAGAGGCGAAAAACCUAUCGAACUUAGAGAUAGCUGGUUAUUCAAGAAAUGGAUCUUAGUCCAACUUAAAGCACCCAACAAAUCCCUAAUUUAUGCUUUAAUGUCAUUCAAAUAAGGUACAGCUUAUUUGAACCAGGGCACAACCUAGCACUCCGGGUAAUGUUUUAACUUACUGACCAAGUAGGCCUAAAAGCAGCCACCUUCCAAAAAGCGUCAAAGCUUAAUCACCUCCCCCCACCCAAUACCUCUCAAUAACCAAAACCCCAAUACUAUAUUGAAUGACUCCAUAAUAUUAUGGAAAACCUAAUGCUAGAACAAGUAACAAGAAGAAAACCUUCUCUUAAUGCAAGCUUAAUCCCCAAUGAAUAAAUCACCGGAACUCACCGCUAAUGAACUAAAAGCACUAACGCCCUCCCCUCCAAAAACUACGCUAAACUAAACGUCAACCUUACACAAGUGCAUUUCCAUGAAAGAUUAAAAAAGAAGGAAGGAACUCGGCAAACCCAGCCCCGCCUGUUUACCAAAAACACCGCCUCUUGCCCCCCCCAAAAAUAAGAGGUCCAGCCUGCCCAAUGACUAUUUAAAUGGCCGCGGUACCCUAACCGUGCAAAGGUAGCGUAAUCACUUGUCUACUAAUUAUAGACCAGUAUGAACGGCACCACGAGGGCUCUACUGUCUCCCUUCUUUAAUCAGUAAAACUGAUCUUCCCGUGAAAAAGCGGGAAUUUACCCAUAAGACGAGAAGACCCCAUGGAGCUUUAAACUAAGAGCAACUACUAAUACCCUUACCCCCCCCCAAUAUUGUAGCCAUGACUUAAAGUUUUAGGUUGGGGUGACCGCGGAGCACAACAGAACCUCCACAAUGAAUGAACAUAUUUCUCUCACCCAAGAAUUACUAUACAAAGGACCACUAGCGUGACAUUAAUUGACCCAACCAUUUGAUCAACGAACCUAGUUACCCUGGGGAUAACAGCGCAAUCCAUUUCAAGAGCCCCUAUCGACAAAUGGGUUUACGACCUCGAUGUUGGAUCAGGGUAUCCUAGUGGUGCAACCGCUACUUAAGGUUCGUUUGUUCAACGAUUAAAACCCCACGUGAUCUGAGUUCAGACCGGAGCAAUCCAGGUCAGUUUCUAUCUAUUAAGAGCUUGCUCCAGUACGAAAGGACCGAGCAAACAUGGCCAAUACAUAAACAAGCCAUCACUAAACUAAUGCAUACCCCACUAAAUUAGUUUAAAUCUACCCCACUUGCCUAGACAAGG
rnacentral:rRNA from 1 species